UGUUGGUUGAGUAGUAGUGACAUUUCCUGUUGGUCGAGGAGUAGUGACAAUUACUGUUGGUUGAGUAGUAGUGACAUUUACUGUUGGUUGAAGAGUAGUGACAUUUCCUGUUGGUUGGGUAGUAGUGACAUUUCUUGUUGGUCGAGGAGUAGCGACAAUUACUGUUGGUUGAGGAGUAGUGACAUUUACUAUUGGUUGAGUAGUAGUGACAUUUCCUGUUCGUUGAGUAGUAGUGACAUUUCCUGUUGGUUGAGGAGUAGUGACAUUUCCUGUUGGUCGAGGAGUAGCGACAAUUACUGUUGGUUGAGUAGUAGUGACAUUUACUGUUGGUUGAAGAGUAGUGACAUUUCCUGUUGGUUGAGUAGUAGUGACAUUUACUGUUGGUUG